rnacentral:rRNA from 1 species
UACAGAGGGUGCAAGCGUUAAUCGGAGUUACUGGGCGUAAAGGGCGCGUAGGCGGUUAAAUAAGUGAGAUGUGAAAUCCCUGGGCUUAACCUAGGAACUGCAUCUUAUACUGUUUAACUGGAGUAUUGUAGAGGGUAGUGGAAUUUCCGGUGUAGCGGUGAAAUGCGUAGAGAUCGGGAGGAACACCAGUGGCGAAGGCGGCUACCUGGACCAGCACUGACACUGAGGCACGAAAGCGUGGGGAGCAAACAGG